UAGGGAAUCUUCCGCAAUGGGCGAAAGCCUGACGGAGCAAUGCCGCGUGAGGGAUGAAGGCCUUCGGGUUGUAAACCUCUGUUGAUAGGGAAGAAGGUCGCCAUGAAAGUGGUUGGCUUGACGGUACCUGUCGAGGAAGCCCCGGCUAAUUACGUGCCAGCAGCCGCGGUAAUACGUAAGGGGCAAGCGUUGUCCGGAAUCACUGGGCGUAGAGGGCGCGUAGGCUGUUUGGUAAGUAGAAGGUGAAAGAUUCGGGCUCAACCCGAAAAUUGCCUUCUAAACUGCCUUACUUGAGGGUCUGAGGGGAAGCUGGAAUUCACGGUGUAGCGGUGAAAUGCGUAGAUAUCGUGGAGAACACCCGUGGCGAAAGCGGGCUUCUGGCAGACUCCUGACGCUGAGGCGCGAAGGCUAGGGGAGCAAACGGG
rnacentral:rRNA from 1 species